rnacentral:piRNA from 1 species
UAGGUUAAGCUUUGCAUGGUGGGU